rnacentral:sRNA from 1 species
UUUCAGACAUUUUAGUUAAGAGUCAAGGAAAACACAUAGUUUCAAAAACUAGACCUGUGCUUCUUUCUUUUCAUUGCAGAGACUCUUGGUUUGGACCCAGAAGUUGCUAAAGUAAACAUCUUGGGUUUUCUUGGAUGCCUUUCUUCAGUCCAGUACAAUCACAUAGCACCAUUGAAAGCAGCCCUCCGCCAUGCUGGCGUUGCACCUGUGACUGUUCAUGGGACCUUGACUGAAUCCGGAUGUGACUCCACUCUAGACUCUGAUGUGAAUGCAGUGACCACUGUGCAUUCUUCAUUAGAACCCAUUGGAAAGAGAGACGAGCAAGAACCACUCACAAACACAGUCCAAAGUGACUCAGCAGUCAUUGGAGGUAUCAUAGCAGUGGUGACAUUUGUCACUUUUUGUGUAAUCGGAAUCAUGAUCUGCUUCCUUUAUCAACAUAAGCAGUCACACCGCACCAAUCAGACGAAGGAGAAGGAAUACCCAGAGACUUUAAGCAAUUCAUUUAGAAAUGUCAUUGACUUGCAAAACACAGCCAGCGAGUGCAAACGGGAAUACUUCAUCUGAACCAUAGCAGGAUUACCUGGUCUGCCUUUUUUAAACUGUUUUCUCUCUCUUUUCUCUUCUCUUUCCUGACUUGUAAUUUAGGGAUUCUCUUUCUCUCACUUACCAUUGAUUUUCUGGAACACACAUGAUCCACCAGAAACACCAAUCUCCUUUACCCAGCUUAUGAGCUCAGGUAGUUGUAGCUACUGUAGUCCUUUGACAUAUGUGUCAUUGUGAAAAUGACCAAUGGAGACACAGACUUUGCUAUUUUAAACAAAUAGUCACAUGUGCCUCUCUUUGUAGUCCAGUUUCUAAACUUCACUCAUUAGUUUCUUAGGUACUUGGUCUUGCAACCGUACAUUAGAAUUGAGUUCUGUGGUGUCUGUCUUUAACAAUCAUUCCUGCCUAAUACCUUAUUCUUAUAUAUUUCACCUUUAUGGGAGAAAAUGGAGUUUGUCUGUGACAAAGAAAGCAGUGUUAACUCUUUCUUUAAGCAGUGUGUUUAUCAAGGAGCCCAAUAGAGUAGGAAGGUAGGUAUGAGGGAAUGUAAAUUCACCUUGGAAAGUAACAUUGAUUCUCAAUGCCCUGUGAGAAAGGGGCAUUGGGAGAUAUUAUGUCACAAAGAAAUACAUUUAAAACUGAGAAAACUUUGUGUGUGUGUGUGUCUGUGUGUGUGUGUCUCUGUGUGUGUGUGUGUCUAUGAUGUGUAUUCAGCAUAACCAGACUUGAAAUAAAAAUCUAAAAUAGUUCCAUGAAAUGUCUUAGGCCAUCUUAAGUCAGCAUCUAAAGAAACUGAAGAGAAAAAACAAAAACAAAGAAAUCGAAAGCAUUGAAUGAACAAGAAGAUCUAUCAACAAAAUUUAUGUCUGAUGAUCCAAUCAAGAAAGUUCAAGUAAGAGAACAGUGUGAAGAGCUAAAAUCUAUAAACACUAUUAUAUCAACCAUCUGUCAAGAAGCUUCUGGACAUCUACAUUUUCCUGCUCCUCAUUGUUCCUGAAAUCAUUGCUUGGGUAUGCUUGUCCCUCAACUGUCCUCCAGGUCUUGUUUCAAUUAAUAAAUAAACAUGCAAAGUAGCAAAGGUGGAUAAUGGAAGGGCGGUUCAGGAAAAUGUGAACAUGCUUCAGUUAUUGAAGGAUGGCUGAGGGCUGUUUCAUGUCUCUCACACAGAUUAGAAAUGAUUUAUUUAAAAGAUUCAUACUUUAUCUGAAGCACUUCUGUAUACCAGUUCAUGAGGAUUUCUCAGUGUAUCUUUGACUUUACCCAAAGUCUUCCUCAUGUCAUUUGUUCAGAAAAUGUUUCUGUUUCUUUUUUUCAUCCCUGUAAUCAAAAAGUCUAAACAGUUGGUCUAUUUAAAAGGGGAGAAUGUAUAACACACACAC